CAGCACCUCAAAGGUUACCACUGGCACCAAUUUUGGGAGCAUUUACUCUGACAUUUUGGGUGUCAUUGAUGUGACAAAGAGCAGCGAACAGUGGAUGUGGUGGUUUAGCUGGAGAAAAAUUCAGGAUUCAAUCAAGAAAGCAAGGAAACAAUUCCUAAUGGAGAAUCAUGUUCCCUUUUGCCUCUCCUGUCCACGAUCCAGGCUUUGGACACAAGAAGGGCAUUUCCUUCCUCAGCCAGCAAAGCUCCAGGAUCCAUCUGAUGAUGCUGUGGCUCUGCAGCGAUUAUUGGGACAGAGCUGCAAACUGGGAGACACCAACCCUGCCCAGCAAAGCGCCAGGAAAUCGCCAACCAGGUGCUUUUUUGCCUUUAGAUUUCACAUUUUUAGAAAGAGGAGGGGGGAACCCAGCCUAGCUCCUGCAAAGCAGCAGCAGCAGCAGCACACAAAGCAAUCGUUAUGCCAAGAUUUAGCUGUUAAAUCCCUCAAGAUCUGGUGCUCACAGAGCAUAAACAACCUUUGCCUCCCAGCCUGGCCGAGCUGUACCUCCAGGCUUCCCAGCACAGCCACACAGACCCUCCCAUACCCAUCCUCUCCCCAGCCCUUCGCUGAGGCUGCCGUGCCAACAAGAAAGCCAGUUGCCAUGGCAUUUUUUCCCCCUACAGACAGAUGUCCAUUAAAAACCAAGUCAGCCUCAGGUUUGCUUCACAGAGCGGCUUUCAGUUGUUAUUACCAGCCUGCAAGGAAUUUCCACAGUAGCCCUUCACCUCAGAUGUUUCAACGUACUUCAGGAUUAAUCCCUGAGGAUUAGAAGGAAACUACUACAGAGCAGGCACAGGUAUGUUCAAAGGACAAAUUUAGGAUUAUGAUUGUGGUUUAUGUUUUUGGCAGAUGACAACCACAUGACUGUGUUUGGAAAGGGUUGAAUUUGUUACCUCUGGUGCUCUUUCCCCUGUUCACUGUGCUAAAAUCAUCAGGCAAAUUGGAAGUGAGAUGUGAAAUUUUCCCCUCCUCUGGGAUGUCUCAUGUGGGGCUCAGAUCUGGGAUUUUGGCUUUAGGAGGAACCUGCCAGUCCUGGACAUGGGCAUCAAGUGAGGCUCCAUCCAUGGAGAUGGGAAAGCCCAGGCAGUUCCUGUGAGCAGGGCCAAGCACUUCCAGCAACCACAUGGCUCAAGGAGCAAUGUCUUCUUCCUUGGCCACAUUUUUUAUUGAAGAAAGGAAAAAGGGAUGAAUGGAUCCCAUACUCGCCCUCAUCCCAUCCUGGGGGCCAAGGGCCUUUUGGAAGUGUCCCUUGGGAAAAAGAGAGGAGCUUUCUACUGCAGUGCUGGCAGCACAUUCCCAGCAUCUCUGCAGGGAUGGGUUUGAUGGGAACAGUCAGGUAUUUUUAUUUGGACUCCAACAGUGCUGAAUGUGUGAGAAUAGACACUGAAAUUUAACUGUACAGUGGAAUUAACUGCAGUACUUAGCACUGCAGUGCUAGAAAUCCUUGGUGAUGUCCAGGGCGGGAUCUCCUCUCUCACAUCUGGCUCUGAACUUGGCAGGGCUUCCACAGCAUUCCUUGUUUAAGCUGUGGCCCCUGGGAAACCUCAGCCUUCAGAGACUUUGGAGCCACCAUUGCAGCUCAGAGUCCUGCAUCCAGGCUGGCCCACAGGGAGGUUUCCACUGGAGCCUGGAUCUUUGAGGGAGCCAAGUGCCACAAUUCCAGCUGCAGAAAUGACAGCUCCUCAUGGCUCGGGAUGCAGCAGGGUCUGAGCACACCCCAGCUGCAAAGGCAGCACUCCCUUCCAGGCUCUCAGUCACUUCCCAAGGCGACACAUUUGGAUUUCUCCUCUCACUUACAGCAAGAACAGCUGCAAAUAUGAUCAAAAAUAUCUAAUCCUCUUAAACUGCUUCUGCAGUUUGACUCGAUCACUGCAGAGGAAAAUGCUGUGAUUGCAGAGUUCUGCCUGCAUUCCCACAUAAGCCUCGGCUUUUACACCAUUGAUCAUUCCUCCACAUUGAUUUUUUUGGAAGGAGGACAAGGUGUUUGGCAUCUUGUGAUGAAACUGAGGGGGUUUUUCAGGAAGGGUUGGAGGCCAGGAACUCCCAGAUCCCAGGGCAGCACUUGGCUCUUGGUCCUCCUUCACUGAACAAGCAGAAUCCAGCUGGGAUUUCUUCUCCACCAGAAAACCAGAGCAUGUUUGAAAGCUGCCAAUGAGAAUUGCUUGGGAAAAGUUCUCUUUGCUCCUUGUGCAAGCCCUGCACUUACAGAAGGAAACUCUUGGCACAGCUGUGCUUGGACAAGACCAUCCAGCUUCUCCUCCAGCUGCAGCAGCAUCCCUGUGUCCUGUGGAUAACUGUGGAUAACUCCAGCUCACCCAUCUCGCUUGGCCACAUCUCCCACUCAGCUCUUCCAGCCCUCACAGGUUUUCCAACAGGUUUUCCACACAGACCAUGGAUUCCAGCCAACAGCACCAGGAGUUUCUCCAGCCUAAGUUAAUUCUGUUGGGCUAAGAUUCCCAGUAGUGCAGAGGAAUUGUUCUGGGAGAUCUAGUCCUGGUGUGGACGCUAAAAUGAUUUAUUGUGAGUUUGGUUUAGUUUUACAGAACUCUGACACACAGAUCAUGAAGCUGCUUUGGAACCUCAUUCGCACCUGUAAGUGGGGGUGUCCCAGCACCCCAAAGAGGAGCUUUUCCCAAGCUUCACCUGCUUAAACCCCUCUGCUGUACAUGGCAAGAGGCUCUUCUUCCCCAAAGAAUGUCCCACAUCAGUGGAGACUGAUAAAUAUCACAAAUAACAUAAAAUGAGGGAAGAGGAGACUGGGAGGCAGAAGCCUGUAAAUUAUUGUCAAAAGCAUCAUCUUUGCAUCCCACACUGACAUUGUCCUCCGAGGCCAUUGCCACCACAUAAGGACACAGAAAACAGGCAAAGAAACCAGCUCAUAGCAGUCUGUCUCCAGGAAAAUCAGCACAACCAGGAUCUCAGGCUGGGAAUAAAGUAUGUGCAUAACACAGCUCUCCUCACCCACUGCCCUCGGGCCCACAAACCCAGAGAACCUCUCUAACCACCAAAUCAGCACAUUUCUGAACCUGCAAAAACCAAAAUCUCAGUUUCCUGGUGAGCUCAGAGCUCAGCUCCCAGCAGCAGCAAAGCUUUCCACAGCUUCCAGCCUCAGCACAGCUCAGGAAACCCUCCCCAAAGAGCCCCCACCUACCUCAGCUCCAGCUCUGCAGCAACCCCCCCCAGGUGCAGCAGCUUUGGAGGAGCAGUUGGUCCUGAAGAAGGUUCAACAGGGCCCAAUUUCCUGGUGGGGAAGUAAACAUUGUUCUCCUGGAGGUGUUUGAUGUUUUUAACCAGCUUGGGAUGGAAGGAGUUUGACUCUCCAGCUCCCUGGGAGAGGGUGGAAGGAAACCACGCGAGUGUGUUGAGGUUUGUUGUCUAACUCAAUUAACCAAUUACUUCCAGGUCAAGAAGGGGCAAAGCUAUAACUGCUCUUGCUGCUAUAAAUAAUGUUUGCUCAGGAGUGGUGCAGGGGCAGGAAGCUGUAGGUGUGGGGCUUUUGCUUGGAAUGAAAGCAAAUAUCUCUGAUUGCUUCCUGCUCCCAGCAAACCUGUCCCUGUUUUACUGUUGCUCCUUGGAUUCUGGGGUGAACACAAGACAAUUCUUGCCUUGGGAAACGUGUGCAGGAAUUCAGGCUGCGGGAGGAAUACACAAAUAUCCCUCCUGUGCUGCAAAACACGUCCCAAAUGCUGCUGGCUCUCCUGGUGUGAAUCUCCUUUGGAGCAGCUGGAUGAGUUUACCUUUAAAACACAGUUAUUAGACCAAAAUGCCCAUUUAUGUAAAAAAAAAAAAAAGUGGGGAAGGAGGUUUUGGGAAAAUGGAUGUGAAUUUCUCAGUGCUCAAAGGAAAACAGACAAGUCAGUGCAGAUCAAGGCAGGAAUUUUCCAGUGGGCCUUAGGGAACUGGGCUUCAGGGGAAAGGUAGAGGGUGUUGGACAGCAGAGCAGCCCCUUGAAGGGCAUGGCCAUGGGGGGCUCCAGCUCAGACAGAUGGUUUUCCUUGGGCACAAGCCAGAGAUGUCACCUCACCCAGGACUUUGGCUCCUCUACAGAAUGGUGACAUGGAGGGGAUGAAUUGGUAUUAAGGGACAGGUUCUUCCCAAGGGACAAAAAAAUGAACAAGACCCUGGAACCAGAAACAGCAAUGUCAGGUGUGUCAUCCCAAACUGCCAACCCAGCUUUGCCAUGGCUCAGGGGGAACAUUCCUGUCAUGGUGCAGUGUCCCCCAGCUGCCCAAAACUUCCCUCCCAAGCAGGGAGCACAGCAAACCCCUGUGCUGGUAAGCUGGGGAAAGGUGUGUUCCUUCCAGGAUUUCCAAAUUAAAAAAAGUCUAUUUCAAGGGUUGUAACCACAGCAGGAGCUCAGCCAAUCUCAGCUGUCCAGUGCUGGGGAAUUUCUCGCUGCUGCAGCCUCCUGCUGUGGGGACAGUGAGUCACAGCCAGCGCUGACCUGCUGCUCCACUUGCUGAUGUCACAAUUUGACCACAGGCUGAGGUGCCAGUGCCAAAGCUUUUUCCAGGCACUUGUGGGUCCGGAUGAGGAGUAAGGAAAAGUCACAGCCCAGCCCGAGCUGGGACCUUUCCCUUUACCACAAGCCCCAUUUCCUUGUGGGAAGUGUCCCAAGGGAAGGAGGAGUGUCCCAAUGAUCUAGAGCAGUGAAUUAAACACCCAGACAGACACUGCAGGCUCUCUGCUCACCUGGGAUGGUUUAAGGAGAAGCUGGAGGGGACUCAAGGACUGAGAGUUAUUUGGUUUAACAGAGACUUUUCCAAUUCCUGCUUUUUCUGCACAAGCUGCCCAGAGGUAACUGCCCAGCCUUAUCUGCUGCUAUCAGCUCAGCUGGACCCAACUUUCCAAGCCCAAAGAAGGCCAAGAGCUCAUUUGGACAGCUUUGCCUUUGAGUUAAAAACUAUCAGACUUCCAAAAUAACCUCCUCCCUCCCCUCCAGUGGAACACACAGACAGAAAGAACUGCACGCUGGUUUAAUUUUCCAUCACAUUUUUUGAAAAUGAAUUCCAAGAUACAGUACAGCAUCUUUAGUGUUCUACACAAAGCAAGCCUUCAGCAAAAGGUCAGAGGAUCUUAAUGGUGUAAAAAUAUAUCUUAAAUAAAAUAGUUUCUCUAGGAGAGCAAGCUGUGCUGUACAUCUCGAGGUCCUUAGAGUCAUUUACAGAAGGCAGAGGCCUGGUAAUACAAUCCACACACUGGAAAAGUGAGUGUACAUUCCUGCUACAAAGUCAGAAAAGGUCCAGGUUCCAGGUGGUGGGGGCAGAUCUCCAAACCCAAGCAGGGGAUACCCAGAGUGCACUAACAGCCCUGUAAUUCCAGUGAGGAAGUUCAACUCUCUCUGUCCAUGUAGCCAGGAAACAGAUGAGAACCACCCGCCCUGCCGGGGUCAUUCCAGGGACUGGGACUUGUCCCUUACAAUGGGCCAAAAAAAGAACAACUUUAGCUAUAAAGGACUGGCUGUUUCAUGCCUGUGUUCCAGGCUGGACCUCCUCAGCCAGAGAUGUUUCAGUGUUCCAAACUAAGGUCAUGAUUGUUCCAACAAGGAUCAGGAUCAUCCUGUGGCCUGGGAAGACAACUGGGGACUCCCCUGCCAUUUUUAACGAAAGAUCAGCCUUUAAAUGCUCUGAUUCUGAGCACAACAACCAGGACAGUCGCUUCUCCAGGGGAAAACUUCCCACCCCAGAGCAUCGAGUCUUAGAUUCUAAGUGAAAGCCAACAAAAAACCCAAACCAAAGUAGAUUUGUGCAUAAAAUUCCCUUCCAGGUCCUGUGUCCCUUUGGGGCAAGUCACACAGAAGCUUUGCCAGCUGAGGUUGUGGAUAGUGCCACGUUUUGGUGAGCACAGGAACUGGAACCAAGAGCUGCAGCUCCUGCUGAGGCCUCCGGCUCCCAGCAGCUCCAAGAAUGUGGGAAGAGUCUGGAAAAGGCUGUGCUUGUCCCUCUCUCCUCACCUGGCUCUGAGGAGAACAGCUCUGGAGCUUACAGCAGCACUGCCAGUGCAGCUCAGGCAGGGGACACACAUGCAGCCAACUCCAGGAGCGCUGGGACACUGGGAGUGCGUUCCCCAACUCACAGAUGAUUCUUCUUAAUUUGUAGAAAUACCUCUAAAAUAACCACAUUAAACAGCAUUCAGAACACAAAGCUUCCACCCUUUCUGCCCCACAGGCAGCACAGCAAGCACUGGCCUCUCAAAGGCCACCUUUAAAAUUAAGAGAAAUUUCCAGACCAUUGGCCUUUAGAACUUGCCUGGUUUCUUACACCACUAAGAUGGUUUAUUUUCCACACCUCACUCCUUUUUCUUUCCACACUACAGUUCUACUCCUGCACAGGCAGCUCUGCAGUGUCAGGACUGCACAUACUAAAAGGAGAUGUAUAUAACCUAAUUUACACUGUUUAUUAAAUUACUUCUUGAGAAUGCUUUUAAUCCAGGAGAACUGGAGAAGCCUUACACACCGGGCUGAGCCUGCUCUAUGGCACCCCUGCAGGGAAUGGGAUGUUGGACAUGGACACAC